GUCGGCCUCGGAUCGAGUAGGGCUACCCGCUGAACUUAAGCAUAUCAGUAAGCGGAGGAAAAGAAACCAACAGGGAUUGCCCCAGUAGCGGCGAGCGAAGCGGCAUCAGCCCAAAUUUGAAAUCUGGUUCCGUUCUUGGAUCCCGAGUUGUAAUUUGGAGAGGACGUCCCGGGCAAAGCGCCGGCCAAGUCCCCUGGAAUGGGGCGCCGUAGAGGGUGAGAGCCCCGUUCGGCUGGUGGUCGAGCCUAAUGUGGGGCUCCUUCAAAGAGUCGGGUAGCUUGGGAAUGCUGCCCUAAGUGGGAGGUAAAUUCCUUCUAAGGCUAAAUAUUGGCUGGAGACCGAUAGCGCACAAGUAGAGUGAUCGAAAGAUGAAAAGCACCCUGGAAAGAGGGUUAAACAGCACGUGAAAUUGUUGGGGGGGAAGCGCCUACGAUCAGAACUCGGGCGGCGAUGUACGGCUUGGUUCAUUGGAUCAGCAAUCUCAGCGCCGCCCGGGCCAGCGCCGGCUCAUGCCCGGAAAAGAGGGUUUGGGGAAAGUAGCCCCUUCCGAGGGGUGUACAGACCCAGGCUUCCUACCCGG
rnacentral:rRNA from 1 species